rnacentral:snRNA from 1 species
UAUGAUAAAUCAUAUUCAUAUAA